AUCGUUACUAUAGCAACUAAAAUGCAAAUAAUAAUCUAAAUAUUGACAAGGCUAAUUCAUAAUCGGUAUAAGAGCGGCAUUAACAUCUAUUUAAGUUUGGACCUCAUGAAUAUGGACAACAACGCCUGGGUUUUUGACUCUUUAGUUGGUUUCCUACAUGGCCCCGUGUGGAAUGUUCCCUUACAAACAUUUAUAGAAGAAAAAUCUUUGCCUUUCGAACCUUCGGACGAUGGAGAAGUUGUUGACAGGCCAGAUUAUAAGAAGAUACAUGAUGAAUAUAGGAACCUGGUGGACGUGAUGCUUGGAUCGUUUAUGGAUGAUAUCGGUAUCUCGGCUGAUCAAUUUGAAGCGGCAUGUCGCCUCUCCGCGAGUGAUUUAGCUGGACUUCCCACAUACUUUCACAAACGUCUAUUUGAGCAGAUAUGGGCCGCUAACGACUACGAAAUGUUCGUUAAAAUGAUGACACAUAAGAAUGUGGAAUUACAAUUGCAGGCUUUGGAUUUAAUCGAAAAACGGUAUGGCACUAUGCCAAGUUUAUUCUCGUGUGAUGGCGAAGAGCUGGACUCCUCACAAAGUGACGAGAGCGUCGAAUGGCCGGAUAACGAUGACGUCAUGAUUGAAAUUAAGAAACUUACACUUGAUGACUUGGAAACUGAUGAGGUUACAGUGCCACCAGAAGAGGUUAAGGCUGAGAAGCAAACUCUUCUGACGAAACUGCAUAGUUUUGAAAAAAGAGAUGAAAUAAAAGCGGUAGAAACCCCCAAAGAAAAACCAAACAUCAAGAUUCCGGUUGUCAUUGUACCGAAAAAGCCAGAGGUAUCGGAAGAAGAAAUAAAGGCACGACAAGAGUAUUUAAAACAACAGAGGGACAAGUUGCUGGCUUUAAAGAAGCAAGUUCGUGAAAAACAACUUGGUGCUGAAACUGAAGCUCUUUCUGGCGGUGGCGAAGGCACAGCAAAGUUUCAAAGGCCUAAAUCAGCACGAAUGGCCCAAGCAGCUCUAUCUGGAUCAGCACCAGCUCCGUCUCCAGACGCGAUGCAGUUACGAAGGGCCCUCGCUACUAAACUUAAGACCGAAGUGGUGGAAAGCAGCCAUUAAUCUUAUUCGCUUCUUUCAAUUUUAUGUAUUUAUUGUUGGUAUUAAUAGCCUGUGUCAGGGCGUUUUCCUUUGGCGGUUCCACUUCAAGUAUAGAAAAUCGGGUCUUUGAAGGGAUGUUUUUUUUAAUUGAUAUAACAAACGCGUAGAAAAGUCUAGAAAAAGAUGUUUUCAGAUUUCGCAACGAAAAUUUUAAGAAAGUACAAAAAUAAAUAUAUUUAUUUAUCUUUCUAAUUACCGUUUUCCAUAGAAGUUGUGGGUGAUGAUUUUAUUUAUUUUUGUUAGCUUGUUCGAAAAACUUGCCCAUUUUAUAUUAGUAUAAUUACUUAAUAGAGUAAUUGUUUUUCUCUUGUUCUUUCACUAUGAUUAAAUUGUCGAAAUAAAUAACACAACAUG